GUGUUCGAGUUUGCCAUUCGUUUGGCCUUUUCGAGUUCGCUUUUGGGUUUUCCCUUUUUACUUUGAGAAAAUUAGAGUGUUUCAAGCAGACUUUUGUCUUGAAUACUUCAGCAUGGAAUAAUAGAGUAGGACUUUGGUUCUAUUUUGUUGGUUAUUGAACCUUAGUAAUGGUUAAUAGGAACGGUUGGGGGCAUUCGUAUUUAACUGUCAGAGGUGAAAUUCUUAGAUUUGUUAAAGACGAACUACUGCGAAAGCAUUUGCCAAGGACGUUUCCAUUAAUCAAGAACGAAAGUUAGGGGAUCGAAGACGAUCAGAUACCGUCGUAGUCCUAACCAUAAACCAUGCCGACUAGUGAUUGGAGGUCGUCGUUUUGCUGACCCCUUCAGGAACUUGAGAGAAAUCAAAGUCUUUGGGUUCUGGGG
rnacentral:rRNA from 1 species